rnacentral:rRNA from 1 species
UACGAAGGGGGGCUAGCGUUGUUCGGAAUCACUGGGCGUAAAGCGCACGUAGGCGGAUCUUUAAGUCAGGGGUGAAAUCCCGAGGCUCAACCUCGGAACUGCCUUUGAUACUGGGGAUCUCGAGUCCGGGAGAGGUGAGUGGAACUGCGAGUGUAGAGGUGAAAUUCGUAGAUAUUCGGAAGAACACCAGUGGCGAAGGCGGUCUGCUGGGCAGUUGCUGACACUGAUGCGCGACAGCGUGGGGAGCAAACAGG